rnacentral:lncRNA from 7 species
CAGUGAUGACCCCAAAUCUAUUGCCCCAAAUAGAGAUGACCCCAAAUCACAAUGACCCCAAAUAGGGAUGACCCCAAAUAGGGAUGACCCCAAAUAGAGAUGACCCCAAAUCAAAACAACCCCAAAUAGAGAUGGCCUCAAAUUGAGAUGUUCCCAAACAGAGAUGUCCACAGAGCACAACAGCCCCAAAUAGAGAUAACCCCAAAUCACAAUGACCCCAAAUACAGAUAACCUCAAAUCACAAUGACCCCAAAUAGAGAUGACCCCAAACAGAGAUGAUGACCCCAAAUCACAACGACCCCAAAUGCGGAUGUCGCCACAUAGAGAUGUCCCCAAAUCACACUGAUGGCCCCAAAUCACAACGACCCCAAAUAGGGAUGACCUCAAAUAGAGAUGACCCCAAAUCUAUGUCCCCAAAUCACAAUGAGGACCCCAAAUCACAACGACCCCAAAUAGAGAUGACCCCAAAUCUAUGUCCCCAAAUCACAAUGAGGACCCCAAAUCACAACGACCCCAGAAGGGGAUGACCCCAAAUCAAUGUCCCCAAAUAGAGAUGA